UACGUAGGUGGCAAGCGUUGUCCGGAUUUAUUGGGUUUAAAGGGUGCGUAGGCGGCUUUGUAAGUCAGUGGUGAAAUAUGGCAGCUCAACUGUCAAGGUGCCAUUGAUACUGCGGAGCUUGAGUACAGAUGAGGUAGGCGGAAUUGACGGUGUAGCGGUGAAAUGCUUAGAUAUCGUCAAGAACACCUAUAGCGAAGGCAGCUUACUAGGCUGUAACUGACGCUGAGGCACGAAAGUGUGGGGGAUCAAACAGG
rnacentral:rRNA from 1 species